ensembl:lncRNA
GGGGAAUUAAUGCAGGGCAGAGGAAGGAGAAACAGGGAAUUAAUGCAGGUCAGAGGAAGGAGAAACAGGGAAUUUAUGUAGGGGCAAAGGAGAAACAGGGAAUUAAUGAAGGGCAGAGGAAGAAGAAACAGGGAAUUAAUGCAGGUCAGAGGAAGGAGAAACAGGGAAUUUAUGUAGGGGAAAAGGAGAAACAGGGAAUUAAUGAAGGUCAGAGGAAGGAGAAACAGAGAAUUAAUGCAGGUCAGAGGAAGGAGAAGCAGAAUUAUUGCAGGGCAGAGGAAGGAGAAACAGGAAUUAAUGCAGGGCAGAGGAAGGAGAAACGGAAUUAAUUAAGGGCAGAGGAAGGACAAACAGAGAUUUAAUGCAGGGUAGAGGAAGGAGAAACAGGGAUUUAAUGCAGGGUAGAGGAAGGAGAAACAGGGAUUUAAUGCAGGGUAGAGGAAGGAGAAACAGGGAAUUAAUGCAGGGCAGAGGAAGGAGAAAC